rnacentral:lncRNA from 1 species
AUGGAGGGCGCUGAGCCCCACGCGCGGUCGGAGCGACUGGCGGAGGCCGAGGCGCGGGCGGCCGAUGGCGGGCGCCUGGUGGAGGUGCAGCUGAGCGGCGGCGCCCCUUGGGGCUUCACCCUGAAGGGCGGCCGCGAGCACGGCGAGCCGCUGGUCAUCACCAAGGUUGAAGAAGGCAGCAAAGCUGCGGCCGUGGACAAACUGCUGGCCGGAGACGAGAUUGUGGGCAUCAAUGACGUCGGUCUGUCUGGGUUUAGACAGGAGGCCAUCUGCCUGGUGAAGGGGUCGCAUAAGACCCUGAAGCUGGUGGUGAAAAGGAGGAAUGAGCUGAGCUGGAGGCCACACUCCUGGCAUGCCACCAAGUUCUCCGACAGCCAGUCCGAGCCAGCUGCACCUCUGUUUCCCUGCCCCUCUCGGCCGAGCCGGUAUCACGCCAGCUCCUCCUCCCAGGACCUGUCGGGCGGUGCCUGGGAGCCAGCGAACCUGCAGCGCACCUCGGACCACUUCAGCUCACUGGGGAGCGUCGACAGCCUGGACCCAUCCUCCCAGCCCGACCCGUCGGGGCGCCUCUCGGCGGCCAAGUCCAGCAGCAGCAUCGACCGCCUGGGUGGCGCCAGCAAGCGGGACUCAGCUUACGGUUCAUUCUCCACCCGCUCCAGCACCCCGGACCACACUCUGCCCAAGGCGGACGCGUCCUCAGCCGAGAAUAUCCUCUACAAAGUGGGCCUGUGGGAGUCCUCCGCUGCAGUGGACAGCCGGCCGGCUCUGACGGCCGGCGACGCUCAGGGCACCGAGGAGCCCCUGGGGUGCUUCCCGCCCCGGGUCCCCGAGGAUGGCCCCGAGCCCAAGCUAGCUGCUUGCGGGCGGUCCAGCUCCGGGCCCGUCUGGUAUGUUCCGGAUAAGAGACGAGCCCCUCCGUCCCCUCCCCCACCGCCUCCCCCACUCCGCCGCGACAGCUUCGCUGCCACCAGGAGCCACGAGCAGACCCAGGGCCCCAUGUUCUCAGCAGACGCCACCCCAGUGCAGCCCUUGCUGGGCCUGAGCCGCGUGCAGCCCCACGGUGGCGACUGGAAGAGACCCGAACCCGCUGAUCAGCCGUUGAGGCUGGCGCGCGGGGGCGACGGCCAGAGAGCUGCAAGCUCGGGGUGCACGCCAGGGGCGCAUGUGGACUGUGGGUGGCCAGCCUGCGACAGCGGAGCCCGGGCCCUCCUGGGGGCCCCCAGCCGGCUGCAGGCUUCUCUCUCGAGCACGGACGUGCGGCUCCCGCAGCCCUUGCCUACAUGCCAACACCCGCGGCACUCGAGCGAUGAGGGCCCCUUCUUCCGUGAGGGCCCCAGGGCCGCCACGUGGCUAGGGGAGCCCCUCCCCACAGACUGCCUCGCGGACAACAGCCCUGCUCCCAUUGUCGUCGGAGGGCUGCGCACUGCAGACCAGAGGGGUGACUGCGGCGCGCAGAGCCGCUACUACUGCGUGAUGUCCAGACCCGGUCCCCAGUGGGGCGCCCUGGCCCCUCAGCCCCACUGCUACCCGUCCCGGCUGGAGGGUGCCCCGGGCGCACAGCAGAGAGGCAGGGUGGAGACGGUGGACAGGGCACCCGAGGACCCACCGGGGGCUGGCCUCCUGGACAAAGGCGGCAGGAAGAGGGUGGUGGGCAGCUUGGAUGACGGGGGUGGCGAGAUCUGCCCCCUGCAGACGCCCAUGCUGCACUCGCUGAGCCGGGAAGGGGCGUGCCCGCCUGAGACCCGCCACGAGGACACGGCUCCAGCGCUCUCUGAGGCCCCGGCGGGCAAGCCCCUCCGGAGGAGCGACCGCUUCGCCACCACCCUGAGGAACGAGAUCCAGCAGCGGCGAGCCAGGCUGCAGAAGAGCCGGAGCACGGCCACUUUGGCCAGCUCCGCGGAGGAGGAGGGGGAGGCGGAAAACGACGAGACUGAGGCGCGUGGUUCCCGGGCGCAGCCAGUGGGUGCCCCAGAGACCACCUUACCCGGCGGCACCUAUAAGGACCACCUGAAGGAGGCGCAGGCCCGCGUCCUGAGGGCCACGUCGUUCCGCCGCCCCGACCUGGAGCCCAGCCUGGCGGACCCGGAGCCAGCCCCCCGCAUCUGGGAGGGGGCCCCAGGUGCUGGGCCGCCCUUGUGCGCUGCCGGCAGCGGCAGCUGCAGCGCGCGCAUCGGGAGCCGGAGGCGCUUCACUGCCGAGCAGAAGCUGAAGUCCUACUCGGAGCCCGAGAAGAUGAACGCGGUGGGGCUGACGGGGGACCAGCGACCCGCACCCCAUGACGAGACGGUGCGCACCUUUGCCGAGAGGUGGAAGUUUUUUGAGGAAACCAGCAAGCCCGUGGUCCCUCAGCCUGGGCUGAGGUCGGCGCCCUGUGGCUUCCCCAGGGAGAAGCCAGAGAUGCCGUGGACAGCGGGCCCUGGAAAAGGCGGAAAGGCGGGGAGACCCAUCCGGCCAGAGCGGCUCGGCACCUUUGCAGAGUAUCAAGCCUCCUGGAGGGAACAGAGGAAAGUCCCGGAAGCCAGGAGUGGCGGGAGGUACCACUCCGCCGACAACAUCCUCGACGUGGGUGUGGACCAGGAGGAGAGGCCGCAGCACGUCCACGAAAGGUCCCGGUCAUCACCUUCCACGGACCUCUACAAGCAGGACACCUCCAUGGAACCUCGAUGGCAAGCAGGGGACCCGGAGGAGCACACGGAGCUUUCUUUGGUGGCACUGGCCGAGGACAGAGGCCCCACCCCAAGACAAGCAGAUGGUCAGUGUGCGGAGGACCGCCCAGGAGCAACACGGGACCCCCGGCAAACCUCUGAACCCCCUGGCGCCCGGGAAGGGCCCAAGACCUCCACCAUGGACACUUCGCGCUCGCCGUCACCACAGUUCGCACCGCAGAAGCUGACGGACAAGCCCCCGCUGCUCAUCCAGGACGAGAACACCGCCAGAAUCGAGCGGGUGAUGGACAACAACACCACGGUGAAGAUGGUGCCCAUCAAAAUAGUGCAUUCGGAGAGCCAGCCGGAGAAGGAGAGCCGCCAGGCACUGGCCCGCAUUCCCGAGCCACCUCCACUGCCCCGGGGCCUCGAGUGGGACCAGAUCAAGACGCUCAGCACGUCUGAGCAGUCCUACUCGCGCUUCUGCCCCUACAGCCGCCAGAGUGCCGAGCCCCAGCCCCCUGCCAGCGCCCUGGGGCUCCCUGCCAAGGAAGGCCGGGCCUCCCCUCCUGCGCUUAGCUACGUGAAGGCCAAAGACAGGACCGCCGCCGACCUCAAGUCGGAGGAGCUGGCCCGUGAGAUCGCAGGCAGGGAUAAGUCGUUGGCGGACAUCCUGGACCCCGGCGUGAGGGUGAGAACCACCAUGGACCUCAUGGAGGGCAUCUUCCCCAGAGAUGAGCACCUCCUGGAAGGCACGCAGCAACGGAGGAAGCUGCUGCCCAAGGCGCCCUCGCCCAGGACGGUGGAGGAGAGGAGGGAGGAGACCAGCUUGCUGGCAGCCACACCCUUGGCCACCACCUCCGCCUACUACAGCACGUCAGCCCCCAAGGCGGAGCUGCUGAUAAAGAUGAAGGACCUGCAGGAGCAGCAGGAGCCAGAGGAGGACUCGGGCAGUGACUUGGACCACGACCUGUCAGUCAAAAAGCAGGAGCUCAUUGAGAGCCUUGGCCGCAAGCUGCAGGUGCUGCGGGAGGCGCGGGAGAGCCUGCUGGAGGACGUGCAGGCCAACAGCACGCUGGGCGACGAAGUGGAGGCCCUGGUCAAGGCCGUGUGCAAGCCCAAUGAGUUUGACAAGUUCCGCAUGUUCAUCGGGGACCUUGACAAGGUGGUGAACCUUCUGCUGUCGCUGUCUGGCCGCCUGGCCCGCGUGGAGAACGCCCUCAACAACCUGGACGACAGCACGCCUCCGGGCGAUCGGCAAUCCCUGCUCGAGAAGCAGCGCGUCCUGAUCCAGCAGCACGAGGACGCCAGGGAGCUGAAGGAGAACCUGGACCGCCGGGAGGGCAUCGUCUUCGACAUCCUGGCCAGCUACCUGGGCCCCGAGAGCCUGGCGGACUACGAGCACUUCGUCAGGAUGAAGUCGGCGCUCAUCAUCGAACAGCGCGAGCUGGAAGACAAAAUACACCUGGGUGAGGAGCAGCUGAAGUGCCUGUUGGACAGCUUGCAGCCCGAGAGAGGCAAAUGA